rnacentral:ncRNA from 2 species
AACUUAUCGAGAGCGACUGAGGGACUAGGCCCUAUGACGUCCGGCAACCCCCAUUACAGGGAAGGUGCCAAUUCCUGCAGAAUGACGAUCAUUCUGAAAGAUAAGUC